ACCUCCCACCCGUGUUUAUUUUACCUUGUUGCUUCGGCGGGCCCGCCUUAACUGGCCGCCGGGGGGCUUACGCCCCCGGGCCCGCGCCCGCCGAAGACACCCUCGAACUCUGUCUGAAGAUUGAAGUCUGAGUGAAAAUAUAAAUUAUUUAAAACUUUCAACAACGGAUCUCUUGGUUCCGGCAUCGAUGAAGAACGCAGCGAAAUGCGAUACGUAAUGUGAAUUGCAAAUUCAGUGAAUCAUCGAGUCUUUGAACGCACAUUGCGCCCCCUGGUAUUCCGGGGGGCAUGCCUGUCCGAGCGUCAUUGCUGCCCUCAAGCCCGGCUUGUGUGUUGGGCCCCGUCCCCCGAUCUCCGGGGGACGGGCCCGAAAGGCAGCGGCGGCACCGCGUCCGGUCCUCGAGCGUAUGGGGCUUUGUCACCCGCUCUGUAGGCCCGGCCGGCGCUUGCCGAUCAACCCAAAUUUUUAUCCAGGUUGACCUCGGAUCAGGUAGGGAUACCCGCUGAACUUAAGCAUAUCAAUAAGACGGAGGAA
rnacentral:rRNA from 1 species